AACGAACGCUGGCGGCAGGCCUAACACAUGCAAGUCGAGCGGUCGUAGCAAUACGUCAGCGGCAGACGGGUGAGUAACACGUGGGAACGUGCCCUUCAGUUCGGAACAACCCAGGGAAACUUGGGCUAAUACCGGAUACGCCCCGGACUUGAUCCGGGGGAAAGAUUUAUCGCUGAAGGAUCGUCCCGCGUCUGAUUAGCUGGUUGGUGAGGUAACGGCUCACCAAGGCGACGAUCAGUAGCUGGUCUGAGAGGAUGAUCAGCCACACUGGGAGUGAGACAUGGCCCAGACUCCUACGGGAGGCAGCAGUGGGGAAUAUUGGACAAUGGGCGCAAGCCUGAUCCAGCCAUGCCGCGUGAGUGAUGAAGGCCCUAGGGUUGUAAAGCUCUUUCACCGGUGAAGAUAAUGACGGUAACCGGAGAAGAAGCCCCGGCUAACUUCGUGCCAGCAGCCGCCGUAACAC
rnacentral:rRNA from 1 species